rnacentral:rRNA from 1 species
AUUGAACGCUGGCGGCAUGCCUUACACAUGCAAGUCGAACGGCAGCGGGGACUUCGGUCCGCCGGCGAGUGGCGAACGGGUGAGUAAUGUAUCGGAACGUACCAUUGAGUGGGGGAUAACGUAGCGAAAGUUACGCUAAUACCGCAUAUUCUCUCCGGAGGAAAGCAGGGGACCGCAAGGCCCUGCGCGCUUUGAGCGGCCGAUAUCAGAUUAGCUAGUUGGUGAGGUAAAGGCUCACCAAGGCGACGAUCUGUAGCGGGUCUGAGAGGAUGAUCCGCCACACUGGAACUGAGACACGGUCCAGACUCCUACGGGAGGCAGCAGUGGGGAAUUUUGGACAAUGGGGGCAACCCUGAUCCAGCCAUGCCGCGUGAGUGAAGAAGGCCUUCGGGUUGUAAAGCUCUUUCGGCCGGGAAAAAAUCGCAUGGGCUAAUACCCUGUGUGGAUGAUUGUACCGGAAUAAGAAGCACCGGCUAACUACGUGCCAGCCGCCGCGGUAA